CUUGGUCCUAGCAAGUUUCUAUUUCGUGGUGCCUGCGAUUUCUACCCCUUGUUCAAGUCGUGGAAUAGUCACAAUAUGAUUUCUCAGCCCAAGCAAGUUCCGACUUAGGACAAACACCGGUCUGGCCCUGGCUGCGAUUUCUGGGUGCUGUAAAGGGAGCCACAAAUACAAAGAUGAGACACUAGCUGCAGCUUUCACAACUCUAACUGCUGAGUGAGUAAAGACGCUGUCAAGAGGACAUUCAGAACACAGCUAACUCAGUGUUUAUUGCAGGAGCUGAUUUGAAGACCAAAAAGACAAGGUCUGAAUGUGAUGCUUCCCUUCAAAGCCAUGUUUUUUUUUACUUGAAGUGAGGAAAAUAUACAACUAUAGAAAACUAAAGGAAAAAAUAAAGAAACAGAAUAAGAAUGACAGAAUAGAUA